UGCACCACCAGCACGAUGACGGUAUUGCCGCCUUCAGGGCGGUGCAAGGCCAGGCGCAGCAUGUUCGAGCCGCGCGUGGAGCGG
rnacentral:tRNA from 1 species